GGCAUCAGCGUGCUCCGGGC
rnacentral:siRNA from 1 species